AGAGUUUGAUCCUGGCUUAGGACGAACGCUGGCGGCGUGCUUAACACAUGCAAGUCGAGCGAUGAAACUUCUUCGGAAGUGGAUUAGCGGCGGACGGGUGAGUAACACGUGGGUAACCUGCCUUGUAGAGAGGAAUAGCCAUUCGAAAGGAUGAUUAAUACCUCAUAAUAUUGUAGCUUCGCAUGGAGCAACAAUCAAAGGAGCAAUCCGCUACAAGAUGGACCCGCGGCGCAUUAGCUAGUUGGUGAGGUAACGGCUCACCAAGGCGACGAUGCGUAGCCGACCUGAGAGGGUGAUCGGCCACAUUGGGACUGAGACACGGCCCAGACUCCUACGGGAGGCAGCAGUGGGGAAUAUUGCACAAUGGGGGAAACCCUGAUGCAGCAAACCGCCGCGUGAGUGAUGAAGGUCUUCGGAUUGUAAAGCUCUGUCUUCAGGGACGAUAAUGACGGUACCUGAGGAGGAAGCCACGGCUAACUACGUGCCAGCCGCAGC
rnacentral:rRNA from 1 species